rnacentral:rRNA from 1 species
CCUACGGGUGGCAGCAGUGAGGAAUAUUGGUCAAUGGGCGCGAGCCUGAACCAGCCAAGCCGCGUGAAGGAGGACUGUCCUGCGGGUUGUAAACCUCUUUUAUCAAGGAAUAAAGUGAGGCACGUGUCCCUUUUUGUAUGUACUUUAUGAAUAAGGAUCGGCUAACUCCGUGCCAGCAGCCGCGGUAAUACGGAGGAUCCGAGCGUUAUCCGGAUUUAUUGGGUUUAAAGGGUGCGUAGAUGGGUUGUUAAGUCAGUGGUGAAAGGUUGCGGCUCAACCGUCAGACUGCAAUUGAUACUGGCAGUCUUGAGUACAGUUGAGGUAGGCGGAAUGCGUGGUGUAGCGGUGAAAUGCUUAGAUAUCACGAAGAACUCCGAUUGCGAAGGCAGCUUACUGACCUGACACUGACGUUGAUGCUCGAAAGUGUGGGUAUCAAACAGGAUUAGAUACCCGUGUAGUC